GUGGCGCAGCUAACGCACUAAGUUGACCGCCUGGGGAGUACGGCCGCAAGGUUAAAACUCAAAUGAAUUGACGGGGGCCCGCACAAGCGGUGGAGCAUGUGGUUUAAUUCGACGCAACGCGAAGAACCUUACCUGGCCUUGACAUGCAGAGAACUUUCCAGAGAUGGAUUGGUGCCUUCGGGAACUCUGACACAGGUGCUGCAUGGCCGUCGUCAGCUCGUGUCGUGAGAUGUUGGGUUAAGUCCCGUAACGAGCGCAACCCCUAUCCCUAGUUGCUAGCAGUUCGGCUGAGAACUCUAGGGAGACUGCCGGUGACAAACCGGAGGAAGGUGGGGAUGACGUCAGGUCAUCAUGGCCCUUACGGCCAGGGCUACACACGUGCUACAAUGGUGCGUACAGAGGGCUGCAAACCCGCGAGGGGGAGCUAAUCUCACAAAACGCAUCGUAGUCCGGAUCGGAGUCUGCAACUCGACUCCGUGAAGUCGGAAUCGCUAGUAAUCGCGAAUCAGAAUGCCGCGGUGAAUACGUUCCCGGGCCUUGUACACACCGCCCGUCACACCAUGGGAGUGGAUUGCACCAGAAGUGGUUAGUCUAACCUUCGGGAGGA
rnacentral:rRNA from 1 species